rnacentral:rRNA from 1 species
ACGCUCGACACCUACGGGAGGCAGCAGUGGGGAAUAUUGCGCAAUGGAGGAAACUCUGACGCAGUGACGCCGCGUAUAGGAAGAAGGUUUUCGGAUUGUAAACUAUUGUCGUUAGGGAAGAGAAAGGACAGUACCUAAGGAGGAAGCUCCGGCUAACUACGUGCUAGCAGCCGCGGUAAUCUGAGCGGGCUGGCAAGGC